rnacentral:rRNA from 1 species
CCUACGGGGCGCAGCAGUGAGGAAUAUUGGUCAAUGGGCGGGAGCCUGAACCAGCCAAGUCGCGUGAGGGAAGACGGUCCUACGGAUUGUAAACCUCUUUUGCCGGGGAGCAACGGGGUCCUUGCGAGGGCCCGAUGAGAGUACCCGGAGAAAAAGCAUCGGCUAACUCCGUGCCAGCAGCCGCGGUAAUACGGAGGAUGCGAGCGUUAUCCGGAUUUAUUGGGUUUAAAGGGUGCGCAGGCGGAAGCGCAAGUCAGCGGUAAAAUUGAGAGGCUCAACCUCUUCCCGCCGUUGAAACUGCGUUU